rnacentral:tRNA from 1 species
GGAGGAAUUCCUGAGUGGCCAAAAGGAGCAGACUGUAAAUCUGUCGCGUCAAGCUACGGUGGUUCGAAUCCAUCUUCCUCCACCA